rnacentral:ncRNA from 1 species
CCUUCGAAGAGUCGAGUUGUUUGGGAAUGCAGCUCUAAGUGGGUGGUAAAUUCCAUCUAAAGCUAAAUAUUGGCGAGAGACCGAUAGCGAACAAGUACAGUGAUGGAAAGAUGAAAAGAACUUUGAAAAGAGAGUGAAAAAGUACGUGAAAUUGUUGAAAGGGAAGGGCAUUUGAUCAGACAUGGUGUUUUGUGCCCUCUGCUCCUUGUGGGUAGGGGAAUCUCGCAUUUCACUGGGCCAGCAUCAGUUUUGGUGGCAGGAUAAAUCCAUAGGAAUGUAGCUUGCCUCGGUAAGUAUUAUAGCCUGUGGGAAUACUGCCAGCUGGGACUGAGGACUGCGACGUAAGUCAAGGAUGCUGGCAUAAUGGUUAUAUGCCGCCCGUCUUGAAACACGGACCAAGGAGUCUAACGUCUAUGCGAGUGUUUGGGUGUAAAACCCAUACGCGUAAUGAAAGUGAACGUAGGUUGGGGCCUCGCAAGAGGUGCACAAUCGACCGAUCCUGAUGUCUUCGGAUGGAUUUGAGUAAGAGCAUAGCUGUU